GGACCCGCACAAGUAGUGGAGCAUGUGGUUUAAUUCGAAGAUACGCGCAGAACCUUACCAACACUUGACAUGUUCGUCGCGACUUUAAGAGAUUAAAGUUUUCGGUUCGGCCGGACGAAACACAGGUGCUGCAUGGCUGUCGUCAGCUCGUGUCGUGAGAUGUUGGUUAAGUCCCGUAACGAGCGCAACCCUUGUCCUUAGUUGCCAGCGGUUCGGCCGGGGACUCUAAGAAGACUGCCAGCGCAAGCUGAGAGGAAGGUGGGGAUGACGUCAAAUCAUCACGGCCCUUACGUCCUGGGCUACACACGUGCUACAAUGGUUAAGACAAAGAGUUGCGAGCUCGCGAGAGUCAGCUAA
rnacentral:rRNA from 1 species